rnacentral:rRNA from 1 species
GAAAUAAGAUUUUAAAUGAGUGCUAAGAGAAUGAUUAAACAAUUAAAAGCUUUCUUUAAUUAAAAAAUUAAAUUUAAUUUUUUAGUGCAAAAGCAAAAAUAAAAUUUAGGGACAAGAAGACCCUAUGAAUUUUUAUUGUUAAUAAUUAAAAUUUAAGUUAUUAAUAAUUUAAUUGGGGCGAUAAAAAAAGAAUAAGUAUCUUUUUAGUUAUAAAAUAAGUUCCGUUUUUAGCGAUUAAAUGAAAUAAAUACUCUAGGGAUAACAGCGUAAUAAUUUUGGAUAGUUCAUAUAGAUAAAAUAGUUUGUGACCUCGAUGUUGGAUUAGGAUUCUU